ACCGUGUGCUUCCCUUUCCCAUUAUAUCUGAACAUAGGUCCUGGUGGUCAUAAAAGGAGAAUAAUAAUACUUGAAGCUGGUCUCAAGGGCUUGUAAUUACUCAAGAGAGUGCAGGCUAGUUUCAAAGAAGG